rnacentral:misc_RNA from 1 species
AAGUCGUAACAAGGUUUCCGUAGGUGGACCUGCGGAAGGAUCAUUAGUGAUUGCCCUAGUGGCUUAAAACUAUAUCCAUUUACACCUGUGAACCGUUUGAUUGACACUCUGUGUUGAUUUUACAAACAAUAUGUAAAGAAGUCAAGUUAUUAUAACAAAAAUAA